GUGAAAGGCUAACCAAGCCCGGAGAUAGCUGGUUCUCCUCGAAAUCUAUUUAGGUAGAGCGUCAUGUCUCACUCCAGGGGGUAGAGCACUGUUAUGGCUAGGGGGUUUAUAAAAACUUACCAAACCAUUGCAAACUCCGAAUACCUGGAAGUGCAAUCAUGGCAGACACACUGCGGGUGAUAAGGUCCGUAGUGGAAAGGGAAACAGCCCAGACCGCCAGCUAAGGUCCCUAAAUCACGUGCUAAGUGGGAAAGGAUGUGGGACGGCCAUGACAACCAGGAGGUUGGCUUAGAAGCAGCCACCCUUUAAAGAGUGCGUAAUAGCUCACUGGUCAAGUGAUUCCGCGCCGACAAUGUAGCGGGGCUCAAGUCAUCCGCCGAAGCUAUGGCAUUCAGC
rnacentral:rRNA from 1 species